rnacentral:rRNA from 1 species
UACAGAGGUCUCAAGCGUUGUUCGGAUUCAUUGGGCGUAAAGGGUGCGUAGGCGGUUCGGUAAGUCAGGUGUGAAAUCUCCACGCUCAACGUGGAGGCGCCACCUGAAACUGCCGUGACUCGAGUCCGGUAGGGGAGUGUGGAAUUCCCGGUGUAGCGGUGAAAUGCGCAGAUAUCGGGAGGAACACCAGUGGCGAAGGCGGCACUCUGGGCCGGUACUGACGCUGAGGAGCGAAAGCCAGGGGAGCAAACGGG